UGGGCAACCUGCCCUCAGCUCUGGGAUAACUCCGGGAAACCGGUGCUAAUACUGGAUAUCGACUUCUGCUCGCAUGGGUGGUUGUUGAAAGUUUUUCGGCUGGGGAUGGGCCCGCGGCCUAUCAGCUUGUUGGUGGGGUGAUGGCCUACCAAGGCGACGACGGGUAGCCGGCCUGAGAGGGCGACCGGCCACACUGGGACUGAGACACGGCCCAGACUCCUACGGGAGGCA
rnacentral:rRNA from 1 species